rnacentral:tRNA from 3 species
GUCCAAGUAGCUUACAAUAAAGCAUGGCACUGAAGAUGCCAAGAUGGCCCCACAUCAGCCCAUGGACA